GACGAACGCUGGCGGCGUGCCUAAUACAUGCAAGUCGAACGCACUCUCGUUUAGAUUGAAGGAGCUUGCUCCUGAUUGAUAAACAUUUGAGUGAGUGGCGGACGGGUGAGUAACACGUGGGUAACCUGCCCUAAAGUGGGGGAUAACAUUUGGAAACAGAUGCUAAUACCGCAUAAAACCUAACAACCGCAUGGUGUAGGGUUGAAAGAUGGUUUCGGCUAUCACUUUAGGAUGGACCCGCGGUGCAUUAGUUAGUUGGUGAGGUAAAGGCUCACCAAGACCGUGAUGCAUAGCCGACCUGAGAGGGUAAUCGGCCACACUGGGACUGAGACACGGCCCAGACUCCUACGGGAGGCAGCAGUAGGG
rnacentral:rRNA from 1 species